AGAGUUUGAUCCUGGCUCAGGAUGAACGCUAGCUACAGGCUUAACACAUGCAAGUCGAGGGGAAACGACAUCGAAAGCUUGCUUUUGAUGGGCGUCGACCGGCGCACGGGUGAGUAACGCGUAUCCAACCUGCCCACCACUUGGGGAUAACCUUGCGAAAGUAAGACUAAUACCCAAUGAUAUCUCUAGAAGACAUCUGAAAGAGAUUAAAGAUUUAUCGGUGAUGGAUGGGGAUGCGUCUGAUUAGCUUGUUGGCGGGUAACGGCCACAAGGCUACGAUCAGUAGGGGUUCUGACGAGGAAGGUCCCCCACAUUGGAACUGAGACACGGUCCAAACGUCCUACGGGAGGCA
rnacentral:rRNA from 1 species